rnacentral:rRNA from 1 species
AGUGAACGCUGGCGGCGUGCUUAACACAUGCAAGUCGAACGCGAAAGUGUAGCAAUACAUGAGUAGAGUGGCGAACGGGUGAGUAAAAUGUGGGUAAUCUAGCUUUCAGAGGGGGAUAACCCGGGGAACCCGGGCUAAAACCGCGUAACAUAUUGGGGUUUAAGGACCCUAAUAUCAAACAUGGCCUCUAUUUAUAAGCUAUGGCUGAGAGAUGAGCCCACAUCCUAUCACGCUGUUGGGUGGGGUAACGGCCCACCAAGGCGACGACGGGUAGCCGGCCUGAGAGGGUGUCCGGCCACACUGGAACUGAGAC